rnacentral:hammerhead_ribozyme from 1 species
AGUCGAAACCCCCGCAAGGGGGUCGCCGCGACAUGAGCAAACGCGGCCUGAUGAGACAGCUCAAA